CAAAGAAAAAGUGUGAUUUUUCAAGGAAUCAAGUGUUUAAAGGUGGUGAGCUAUCUGAUACGGGUAAAAGACUACACCCGAGGACCGAGAAUAGGAGUAUAUCUACUCCUAGUACAGCUCAGAAUAGGCAGUAGACUGUCAAUUGCAUUGAGAAGUAAAUUUCGGAGUUGCAUCCUAGAAAGCAAGA
rnacentral:sRNA from 1 species